AGCUUCUUGUCAGCUGAGGUCAUGCAAAAAUGACUCACUUGCAUAUGAUACUUUCCUUGAGGAAUUAAACCAUAAACCCCUCCUUGCAUUGUGUAUUGAGGGAGAAGAUUCCUAGAAGCAAUAUUCAUCAUCUCUCUUUUCAAUGAUGGACAACUCUCUGCUGUGCCAAAUAUACUAACUUUAACCACCCACUGCCAAACUCACACCUCCUUGUUCAACAAGCCAGUUACGGGCAGUGAAUGAAUCUACGAUGCUGAGCAGCCCCGUGGGCAUCUUCUCACUGGGCACUGGCUAGAAUGCAGUUGGAUUAGACUUUCACAAUUGCUUUGUUUUCAAGCCAGGAAGGAGAAAUUGAAGGCAAUUCACCACCUUUCUAUAUCCAAGAUGAAAACACAGCACUCUCCUAAACUUCAGAAGUAUAACUCAGUGGGUUAGUACUUCAGAUCUAGCCUGAGGCAAAAUUAUGCUUACACGCAGGCCUUUGAUCAAGCUACAGUUUUGAACUGAUUACAGCUUUUGAAGCCUCAGAAGAUUUAAAGACCCACAUUGUUAACAAUGGUGUUUUAGGUGUGCGGCGUAUUGCUAAUUCUAAGUCCUCAAGUGCUCAGAAAACAACAUUAAAAAGUCUGACAUUUGAAAAGUAUGGAAUUAAACAUCAUGGAACUGGCUUUAGAAAGGUAUCCAUUCGUGGCAUGAAAAUGUGAAGAACUUUCUUUCUUUGCAAUGUGAGUUCAAGGAAACGCCCAAGAGUGGAUGUUCCAUCGUAAAUGCUCUGCCCCCAGCUUUUCAAAGGACACAGAAAUUGCACCCAGCAAAGAUGUCCUGUCAAAAUGAUUUAAAAGAAGAAAAAGAAAGUUGCUAGAGGGGAACUGGUACUCCGGAUCAAAAAACAAUUUUAAGUGGUCUAUUUUGGUGGUCUGUGUUGAGACAUAUAACAGCCCAGGCUGCUGUUUUUCCAAGAGGUUAAAUUUCAAAAAGAGGAAACAACAGCAAACAGGCUGCCAAUUUACUCAACAAUGUCACAACUGGCUGGAGCUCUGUUCAAAGUAAAACCGCUGAUUUACAAAUUCCUGGAUUUACUCUUAAAUAUUAACACUUCUUAGGAAACUUUAGAGCUUACAUGUCACACUUAUGACUCCUAGGCAGACACAGCCCUCUCCAAACACAUGGUCCUCAUGACAACUCUUUGCCAUGUAUUUCAGCCCCACUAAGGGAAGCCACUGUCAACUCAACCUGUGAUGCCAAGAAGCAGCCCAGGUACCAAGGGACAUAGACUGGAGUCAACAUUAGAUGCGUUUCUGUAUGGUGUAGUUUGGAGGAGGAUGUUUACAGCACAAUUCCACAAUAAUAUGCUGUAGCAGACAGAAGUUUCCCUUCUAUCAGACACAAAGAACUAGUCAGGAAAGGCAAGCUGGCUAGACCACGGUUCAGUUUUUCUUAAUAGGGAAACCACCUCAGAAUGUUGGAGAAGAGGAUGGGGGAGGAGUUGCAGCUCAGGAAUCCUUCAAAGAAGACGUGUGGGGAGAGGAAGACAGCACACAGAAGCAGGGAGAAGGUUAAGAGUAUGAACCUUAUCAACAGGUAAAAAUGUGUUAUAUUAAUUUUUUCAACAUCAACAAACACGUCAAAAAAAUGCAAUCCUGAUGUCCUAGGUGGCAGGAUUAUUGUUGUUGGAGAAUGCUCCUGUAAAUUUCUUUUCCAGUCUUCUCUCCUCACUUUCCGUGCCUAAGGAGUCUAAGUCCCACUGCCCCUGCUAAUUGUCCCUGGUUAAUUAGAAUGGAGAAUGACCCCUGAACCAACAUGGGCCCAUGAGCCGCACUGGUGAAUUGUCAUUCAGACCCAAAGGCUAGUCAGUCUCCCUGGGCAUUGAGAAGCAACAGAAAGCAAGUAUGUUCUUUGAUUACAGAUUAAUUUUCUAGCCCUAGAGUUGGAACUAAAAUAUGUAGAU
rnacentral:lncRNA from 1 species